rnacentral:rRNA from 1 species
UACGGAGGGUGCAAGCGUUAAUCGGAAUUACUGGGCGUAAAGGGUGCGUAGGUGGUUUGCUAAGUUAUCUGUAAAAUCCCUGGGCUUAACCUGGGCAGGUCAGAUAAGACUGGUAGACUCGAGUAUGGGAGAGGGCAGUGGAAUUUCCGGUGUAGCGGUGAAAUGCGUAGAGAUCGGAAGGAACACCAGUGGCGAAGGCGGCUGCCUGGCCUAAUACUGACACUGAGGCACGAAAGCGUGGGGAGCAAACAGG